AGGAGUGUGAUGAAUCAUAAUAAUCGAACGAAUCGCCUGUUGUGCGAUAAAUCAUUCAAGUUUCUGCCCUAUCAGCUUUGGAUGGUAGUGUAUUGGACUACCAUGGCAGUCACGGGUAACGGAGAAUUAGGGUUCGAUUCCGGAGAGGGAGCCUGAGAAACGGCUACCACAUCUACGGAAGGCAGCAGGAGCGAAAAUUGCCCAAUCCCGACACGGGGAGGCAGUGACGAGAAAUAACAACUCUGGGUUAUUCUAAGAAGUGUAAUGAGGAUAAUUUAAAACCCUUACCGAAAGCAAUUGGAGGGCAAGUCUGGUGCCAGCAGCCGCGGUAAUUCCAGCUCCAAUAGCGUAUAUUAAAGUUGUUGCAGUUAAAAAGCUCGUAGUUGAAGUUCUGGCUGCUUGACCCUCGAGCUCUGUAGCCGAGGGCUCAGCAGUCAUCCGCUUGCAAAUAUAUGUUCGCCUUUAACCGGGCGGCUAUAUGAGUAAGCAUUUUACCUUGAGAAAAACAGAGUGUUCCAGGCAGGUUUGUCCGGAAUGCAUUAGCAUGGAAUAAUAGAAUAUGACUGAAGUCGAUUUAUUGGUUUGAGGCUUUAGUAAUGAUUAAUAGGAACAGUCGGGGGCAUUGGUACUUGUCAGUCAGAGGUGAAAUUCUAGGAUUUGACAAAGACUAACAAAUGCGAAAGCAUUUGUCAAGGAUGUUUUCAUUAAUCAAGAACGAAAGUUAGGGGAUCAAAGACGAUCAGAUACCGUCCUAGUCUUAACUAUAAACUAUACCGACUCGGAUUCAGAUGAAUCAUAAAGUUCAUUUGGGACCGUAGGAGAAAUCAAAGUUUUUGGGGGGGAAGUAUGGUCGCAAGGCUGAAACUUAAAGGAAUUGACGGUUUUGCACCACCAUGGAGUGGAGUCUGCGGCUUAAUUUGACCCAACACUGGGAAACUCAUCAGGGCAAGAAGAUUGUAGGAUUGACAGAUUGAGAGUUCUUUCUUGAUUGGUCUAGUGGUGGUGCAUGGCCGUUCUUAGUUGGUGGAGUGAUUUGUCUGGUUAAUUCCGUUAACGAACGAGACCUUAACCUGCUAACUAGUACACCGAUGACAAAUCGGUGAUACUUCUUAGAGGGACUAUGUGAUGUAAUCACAUGGAAGUUUGAGGCAAUAACAGGUCUGUGAUGCCCUUAGAUGUCCUGAGCUGCACGCGUACUACAAUGGUGCUUUCAUCGAGCUUUUCCUGAUCCGAAAGGAUUUGGGUAAUCUUUUUAGUGAGCACCGUGCUUGGGAUAGAUCUUUGUAAUUAUGGAUGUUGAACUAGGAAUUCCUAGUAAGCACGUGUCAUCAGCA
rnacentral:rRNA from 1 species